rnacentral:rRNA from 1 species
GUAGGGUGCGAGCGUUGUCCGGAAUUAUUGGGCGUAAAGGGCUCGUAGGCGGUUUGUCGCGUCGGGAGUGAAAACCAGGUGCUUAACACCUGGCUUGCUUUCGAUACGGGCAGACUAGAGGUAUGCAGGGGAGAACGGAAUUCCUGGUGUAGCGGUGAAAUGCGCAGAUAUCAGGAGGAACACCGGUGGCGAAGGCGGUUCUCUGGGCAUGACCUGACGCUGAGGAGCGAAAGUGUGGGGAGCGAACAGGAUUAGAUACCCUGGUAGUCCACACCGUAAACGUUGGGCGCUAGGUGUGGGGUCCAUUCCACGGAUUCCGUGCCGCAGCUAACGCAUUAAGCGCCCCGCCUGGGGAGUACGGCCGCAAGGCUAAA